CCUGACUGCUAUCGGAUUGAUACUAAGCCAUGCGAGUCAUUGUAGCAAUACAAGGCAGACGGCUCAGUAACGCGUAGUCAAUCUACCCUAUGGACGGAGAUAAGCUCGGGAAACUGAGAAUAAUAUCCGAUAGAACAUUAUGCCUGGAAUGGUUUAUGUUUCAAAUGAUUUAUCGCCAUAGGAUGGGACUGCGUCCUAUCAGUUUGUUGGUGAGGUAAUGGCCCACCAAGACUAUUACAGGUACGGGCUCUGAGAGGAGUAGCCCGGAGAUGGGUACUGAGACACGGACCCAGGCCCUAUGGGGCGCAGCAGGCGAGAAAACUUUGCAAUGUGCGAAAGCACGACAAGGUUAAUCCGAGUGGUUUCUGCUAAAGAAACCUUUUGUCAGUCCUAGAAACACUAACGAAUAAGGGGUGGGCAAGUUCUGGUGUCAGCCGCCGCGGUAAAACCAGCACCUCAAGUGGUCAGGAUGAUUAUUGGGCCUAAAGCAUCCGUAGCUUGCUUUGUAAGUUCUCGGUUAAAUCCAUACGCUUAACGUAUGGGCUGCCGGCAAUACUGCAAAGCUAGGGAGUGGGAGAGGUAGACGGUACUCGGUAGGAAGGGGUAAAAUCCUUUGAUCUAUUGAUGACCACCUGUGGCGAAGGCGGUCUACCAGAACACGUCCGACGGUGAGGGAUGAAAGCUGGGGGAGCAAACCGGAUUAGAUACCCGGGU
rnacentral:rRNA from 1 species